GUACAUGUAGCUCAGUGGUAGAGCAUUUGCCUAGAUGUGCAAGGCCCUGAGUUUGACUCUCAGCACUGAACA
rnacentral:tRNA from 1 species